rnacentral:hammerhead_ribozyme from 1 species
AUCCAGCUAACGAGUCCCAAAUACAACGAAACGCGCAUCCUGCAU